CACAGCUGUUUGAAAAGCCUUGUGUGUCGGUAUCAGACACUGAGGGCCACUGACCAAGCUGCCGUAUUUGACG